UCCUGCCUGAUCCCUUUUUCUGCUGCCGUCCUGCGCGGGUUCCCCGCUAGCGGCUGGCCGCACCUUACCACCCCCGUCCGGCCGUCCUCCGCCCAGGUAGACAGGAAGAAGCGAGGAGGGUCGUAUCCGACUGCGGCACAUGGAGAGGUGGACCAGGGGCGACGCAUCUCCCCGGCGAGCACGGGAAUACUGCUGUGAUUCAGACAGGGUGACUGGCCGCCGUCGGCGCCGCCCGAGUACAGAGCCUACAUCGCCCACGGUCAGCGCUCAGUUUCAUGCCCAUCGCCACCGGCGACCUCUCGGAAAACGGGCAGACGGCGGGAGUUUAGGACACCACUGCCGAUGCGGCCAUAACCUGGGCUUCUCCUUAUCCACAUCCAGGCGGUUGGCUCUGCUUCUUCUCCAGUGAUCGAAUUGCAAUAUCUACCUCUCGAUACCUAGGCAACUGAGCUUGCUGCUGCUGUUGGAGCACUGAACACUUGGUCUUGGACAUCACAGCCACCCCACCAUUACCUUGGACGCUACUUCAAAUCCUGGCGGCACAAAAUUUUAGUGGAAACAUAAGGAAAUUUGCAAGCGGGGAUUAGAAGAAUUAUUGUGAACUGAAUGAAGAAGCUAUGCGCCUUUUAGCGAACUUUUAUAUGCUUGCAUAGUUUUUGCUCUUCGACAAUGAACCUUGUAAAAUUUCAAAAAAUUCUUACUAAGUUAAUUAAGCUUCAUGUUUGACAGAUUUUCAUUAGGAAUAGAUACCCUUUUGUCAAAGAAGUAUCACGUCAGAUUUACCAUCUUGUAAAAUCAACUGUGAUGGGGCGUUCUCUGCACCUGAGGGCACUGGUGGUGGUGGCUGGGGCUUCGUCAUACAGGACUUGCAUGGAGAUGUGAGAGGCUUUGGAGCGGGGCGCCUUCAACAUGUAGCAAGUGCUCUUCAAGCGAAAGCGACGUCAUGCAGUGCUGCUCUGCAAGCGGCCUUCUGAUGGGGUAUGAAAAAUGUGGAGGUCGAGUCUAAUUGCCAGACACUAAUAAAAGCGCUCCAAAGUUCAGUUUAUGACAGGGCACCAGAAGGAAUUUUAUUGAGAGAGAUUUGGGACUUCGCUCGUCUAAGUUUCAGUGCUUGCACGUUUUAUUUUGCCCCCAAGGCAUGUAAUAACUUGGUGCAUGCUCUUGCAGCUUUUGGUGCCUCUCAACAGGCAGGCCUACAUCUGUGGUUAGAGGACCUGCCUGACAAGGUACUUGUUUGACGGGACAGCGCUUUGGCUAAGCCAGUCUAGGUGCUAGGUGUUGUGAUUUUGUGACUUCUAUAGCUUGCACUUGCAGUCGGGGGAUGUAUUGUCGUUUGAUUAGGUAGACGAGGUGACAUAUUGUAGUUGACAAUAAAGGUGUCGAACUCUUUCGGUAGUGAAGCCAUCACCAGGUGGACCAGGAGCGCAGGUUUGAGCUCCAAAUCCGCAUCCAUGGGCUUUAGCUUGGCUGACAUGUCGCUCAUCCUGAAGAUUUUCUCUCUUAUUCCAUGACCACCGCCAUUGUAGUUCUCUGUCACAAGUUGCUUUAUCAACUAUGUGGCAUAUGUCUUUGAAGAACCAGUGAACUGGCUCUUUAUCUUUGUAAGCAACUCCUCCACGGAAGUGCACUCUGCAAUUGAGCCCACGAUGACGUUCUCAAUUGUAGUCUUUAUAAAUGUCAUGCAUUUGUUGGCGGAGAGCCAAUUUUGAUUUUCGAGUGUAAA